ACCAACCCUGCCCUAAAAAUUAAAAGGGGGAGGAGAGGAACGGUGACUGAAACAGUAAGUAACAUGGGAACUUCUGCAAACGACGUCGCCUGUGACCAAAGCGCCAUCGUCCACAAAGGCGUCGACUAUGCUCAGUACUUCUGCACCUAUGCUUUCUUAUACCAUCAGAAGGAGAUGCUCUCCGAUCGCGUUCGCAUGGACGCAUACUUCAAUGCUAUUUUUGAAAACAAAUGUCACUUCACUGGCAAGACUGUGUUGGAUGUGGGUACUGGAAGUGGAAUUCUUGCUAUAUGGUCAGCACAAGCAGGUGCUAGGAAGGUUUAUGCAGUGGAAGCUACUAAGAUGUCUGAACACGCACGUGCGCUUGUCAAAGCGAAUAAUCUCCACCACGUGGUUGAGGUCAUUGAAGGAUCGAUGGAGGAAGUUACCCUGCCAGAGAAAGUUGACGUGAUCAUCUCUGAGUGGAUGGGUUAUUUUCUCCUACGUGAAUCUAUGUUUGAUUCAGUUAUACAUGCUCGUGACCGCUGGCUCAAACCUACAGGAGUGAUGUAUCCUAGUCAUGCUCGCAUGUGGAUGGCACCUAUCAGGACUGGAAUGGGAGAUCACAAAAUGGAUGAUUACCAGUCAGCUAUGGACGAUUGGCACAACUUUGUUGAUGAAACAAAAGCCUUUUAUGGUGUUGAUAUGAGCAUUUUAACGAAGCCUUUUUCAGUGGAGCAGAAGAAAUACUAUCUACAGACAUCAUUGUGGAGCAACCUUCAUACACAUCAAGUCAUAGGAACUGCUGCUAUAAUAAAGGAAAUUGAUUGUUUAACUGCCACAGUGACUGACAUAGAGAAAGUUAGAUCAAAAUUUUCUUUGUCAAUAACCAUGGACACCGCAAAAUUGUGUGGAUUUGGCGGGUGGUUUGAUGUACAUUUUCGGGGAAGAUGUGAGGAUCCAGCUGAACAUGAGAUUGAGUUAACUACAGCUCCUAGUGUAGAUUAUGGUACACAUUGGGGCCAACAGGUUUUUCUCUUGCAUUCUCCUACACAUGUGAGUGAAGGUGAUGAUUUAAGGGUUUCUUUUCUAAUGAAUCGUUCAAAGGAAAAUCAUCGUUUAAUGGAGGUUGAGCUUGGGUGUGAGAUUCAACAGCAUUCUGGCAAGCUUCUUGUGCCUUUAAAAAAUAAGUACUACAUUGAAUGACAGUGUGCGUUCUUGUGCUCUGGGACAAAAUACAAGGAAUGAGGAGCCCCUGAUUUGUGAUUGUGGAAUUGUGGGGUUAGCGCUCUGGGUGAAUUGAGUUUAUGAUAAAGUUAUAGACAAAAAGCAGUUGCGCCACUCGUUAUCACAAUUGCACUUCAUCUAAUCAUUAUUUGGUUGACUUACGAUUCACAGGACAUCUAUAGCAUGUAUAAGAGAUGGUUCGAUAACCCACGAUGAGACAGUAUAGAUGUUGCGAUAUAAUGGAUACGGAGAUUUCCAUGUGUCGCAUGUCCCGGAUAUGGGUGCACAAAAUCGUCAUCCCUAGAAA